ensembl:lncRNA
GUUGUAAUUAUUUUAGUGGUCUCUUUGUAAAAGCCCCUUCCUUCCCCUGUGAACUAGGGCUAGCAGCCCCUCUUCUUCUUAUGGAGCAAGCUGGUGGUGGUUGUAAGGAGGCAAUGAGGGGGCUGUAAGGGGGCAGUGAGAGGGGACUGGGGUAGCUCUUUUUAUUAAAAGCCUGAGUUCACCACCUCAAUUUUGGGGAGAAAAGAAAACAGCACAUUCCUGUCAUCAGCUCUGAGUGGAGCAGCAGGUGCAGGAAUUUGUUUUGAUUGCUUUAGCCGGGAAUGCAUUAAUCUGAAGAGAUGCAAGACCUGCCUCUCUAUUUGCAGUGGCCAUGGAGUCAAGUCUAAAAGUCACAUGACUUCAGUCUAUCUCAAUCCGAUCAAGCAUCUGUGGUACGUGCUGGAAAACAAAUCGGAUCCAUGGAAGCCCCACCUCUCAACUUACAGGACUUGAAGGA